CCCAACUAUCCCUAUUAAUCAUUACGGUGAUCCUAGAAACCAACGAAAUAGAAUCAGUCCGUCCUAUUUCAUUAUUCCAUGCUAAUGUAUUCAGACGAUAGUCUGCUUUAAACACUCUAAUUUUUUCAAAGUAACAGUCCUGAUUUCCCAUCACACCAAAUGAAUGGCAUGAAAGUUCCUCAGAAGGUAGAGAUCCAUCUCACCAGUGCAGACAAUUAAGCCUGACCAAUGGGUAGACCCCGAGGUUCAACUACGAGCUUUUUAACUGCAACAACUUUAAUAUACGCUAUUGGAGCUGGAAUAAUAGAAUAGGACUUUAGUCUCCUUUGUUGGUUUGAGGGACUGAAGUAAUGAUUAAUAGGGAUAGUUGGGUCUUAGAC
rnacentral:misc_RNA from 1 species